UGCAAGUCGAGCGGUAGCACAGAGAGCUUGCUCUCGGGUGACGAGCGGCGGACGGGUGAGGACGGGUGAGUAAUGUCUGGGAAACUGCCUGAUGGAGGGGGAUAACUACUGGAAACGGUAGCUAAUACCGCAUAACGUCGCAAGACCAAAGAGGGGGACCUUCGGGCCUCUUGCCAUCAGAUGUGCCCAGAUGGGAUUAGCUAGUAGGUGGGGUAACGGCUCACCUAGGCGACGAUCCCUAGCUGGUCUGAGAGGAUGACCAGCCACACUGGAACUGAGACACGGUCCAGACUCCUACGGGAGGCAGCAGUGGGGAAUAUUGCACAAUGGGCGCAAGCCUGAUGCAGCCAUGCCGCGUGUAUGAAGAAGGCCUUCGGGUUGUAAAGUACUUUCAGCGAGGAGGAAGGCAUUGUGGUUAAUAACCACAGUGAUUGACGUUACUCGCAGAAGAAGCACCGGCUAACUCCGUGCCAGCAGCCGCGGUAAUACGGAGGGUGCAAGCGUUAAUCGGAAUUACUGGGCGUAAAGCGCACGCAGGCGGUCUGUCAAGUCGGAUGUGAAAUCCCCGGGCUCAACCUGGGAACUGCAUUCGAAACUGGCAGGCUAGAGUCUUGUAGAGG
rnacentral:rRNA from 1 species